rnacentral:rRNA from 1 species
UACGUAGGUGGCAAGCGUUGUCCGGAUUUAUUGGGUUUAAAGGGUGCGUAGGCGGUUCUGUAAGUCAGUGGUGAAAUACUCCAGCUUAACUGGAGGGGUGCCAAUGAUACUGCAGAACUUGAGUACAGAUGAGGUAGGCGGAAUUGACGGUGUAGCGGUGAAAUGCAUAGAUAUCGUCUGGAACGCCGAAGGUGAAAACAGCUCGCUGGGGCUGCGCUGACGCUGAGACACGAAAGCCAGGGGAGCGAACGGG